rnacentral:rRNA from 1 species
UGGUGGGUAGUUUGACUGGGGCGGUCUCCUCCUAAAGAGUAACGGAGGAGCACGAAGGUUGGCUAAUCCUGGUCGGACAUCAGGAGGUUAGUGCAAUGGCAUAAGCCAGCUUGACUGCGAGCGUGACGGCGCGAGCAGGUGCGAAAGCAGGUCAUAGUGAUCCGGUGGUUCUGAAUGGAAGGGCCAUCGCUCAACGGAUAAAAGGUACUCCGGGGAUAACAGGCUGAUACCGCCCAAGAGUUCAUAUCGACGGCGGUGUUUGGCACCUCGAUGUCGGCUCAUCACAUCCUGGGGCUGAAGUAGGUCCCAAGGGUAUGGCUGUUCGCCAUUUAAAGUGGUACGCGAGCUGGGUUUAGAACGUCGUGAGACAGUUCGGUCCCUAUCUGCCGUGGGCGCUGGAGAACUGAGGGGGGCUGCUCCUAGUACGAGAGGACCGGAGUGGACGCAUCACUGGUGUUCGGGUUGUCAUGCCAAUGGCACUGCCCGGUAGCUAAAUGCGGAAGAGAUAAGUGCUGAAAGCAUCUAAGCACGAAACUUGCCCCGAGAUGAGUUCUCCCUGACCCUUUAAGGGUCCUGAAGGAACGUUGAAGACGACGACGUUGAUAGGCCGGGUGUGUAAGCGCAGCGAUGCGUUGAGCUAACCGGUACUAAUGAACCGUGAGGCUU